AGUUCAAGAGAGUGAUGAGCUUUUUCACUAACGAAAGGGGUUGGAAGUUGUCGGAUCUUUCUAGACACCCAAUUUUCUAAUGCAUAGCUUGAAGAAGAGGAUCAUCCCAAGAUGCUCGGUCCUUAAAAUCCUAAUGUCAAAAGGUCUUGUUAAGGAUUCCAGCAUAAGCACCGCGUUGACUAUCAGCAACAAGGCCUUCAUUGAGAGAUUCAUUGCCAAGUAUCAGGAUAGUGUUCCUGAAAUACCGACGGUUUAUCGAGGUAAAAUGGGAUUUCUAGGAUUAGAUGUUAAAUCCGAAGAUGCGGGCAGCGCUCUAAAAUUGUAGUGAAGGAUAGGCACUUUGUGGUUGCUGGGAGUCUAGGACUGGGGCGGUGGAAGUUCUAUUGCAUUUCUUUUAUUGUUCUUCUUUUUACCUUCACAUUGUAGAUCCGUUCUCGGUGAGUUUGGAUGCACUAUCAUAAUGGAUUAUAAUUAUUAGUUUUCCAAAGUGGGUACAACCAAAUUGCUGAUUUUUCCACAUUUGUACUGUAUGUUUGGGCUCCAAACUGCAAUUACCUUAAUUUCAAGUUGGACUUUAAGCA